GAGAGAAAGGUAUAUGGGAAACUGUUUGAUUAAUCCAAAAGAAAACAAAAUGGAAGGGAAAGUUAUAAAGGACUUAAUGAUGGAAGUAAAAUACAAAUUGCAAAACUGUAAAUUCAAACCCAAAUAAUGUGGUACAGUAAUUACAUUAAAGGUAAACCAGAGAUUAUCAAACUUAGUAAAAAAGCAAAAACCCAACUAUAUGAUGCUUAAAGAGAUUCAUCUUACGUAUAAGGACGAAGAGAGAUUUAAAGGAAAUGGAUAGAAAAAAAAAGAAUGCUAUAUUAACAUCCCCUCUGGAAAAAAACUUUAAAGCAAAAAAUGUUACUAGACAGGAAGACAGAACAAUCAUAAAUUUAUUUGUAGCUAAUAACUUAGCCUCCAAAUAUGAGGCACAAUUUGAGAGAACUAAAAACAUACAGACAAAUCCUCACAUAUUUGGCAAUGUUAACACAAGUUUCUCAAUUGAGUGAUUUAAAAAAGACAAAAAAAGUCAAGUGUGAUACAAUAGAUUGAACAUGAUUAAUAAAUUUAAUUGCUAUAUAUGGCACACUGUCAAUUUUCUAAAACUGACCAUAAAGCAAGUGUCAACAAAUUACCCACAAGUGAAAUCAUAGAAUGAUUCCAGACCACAACAGACACCAAACUAGAAAUCAAUAACAAAAAUAUAGCUAGAAAAUCCCCAAAUGCUGAGAGCACAAGGGAAGUUUUAAAAUAUGCUUUAUUGAAUGAUAAUAAAAAUAAUAUACAACAAACUUGUAAGAUCCAUCUAAGUUGCAUUUAGAGGGAAUUUCAUAUACAUUUUUUAAAUUCCAAAAAUAUUCCAAAAAAACCCCACAAAGGAGCCAGGCACAGUGGUCUGCACAUCUGUAUUCUCAGCUACUUGGGAGGCUAAGGAGGAAGGAGCAGUUGAACGCAGGAGUUCAGAAACCAGCUUGGCCAACACAGUGAGACCCCCAUCUCUUAAAAAGAUUUUAAAAAAUAGGCCGGGCGCAGUGGCUCACGCCUGUAAUCCCAGCACUUUGGGAGGCUGAGGCGGGAGGAUCACGAGGUCAGGAGAUUGAGACCACCCUGGCUAACACGGUGAGACCCCGUCUCUACUAAAAAUACAAAAAAUUAGCUGGGCGUGGUGGCGGGUGCCUGUAGUCCCAGUUACUCGGGAGGCUGAGGCAGGAGAAUGGCGUGAACCCGGGAGGCGGAGCUUGCAGUGAGCAGAGAUGGAGCCACUGCAUUCUAGCCUGGGCGACAGAGUGAGACUCCGUCUCGGGGGAAAAAAAAAAAAAAA
rnacentral:lncRNA from 10 species